UACGGAGGGUGCGAGCGUUGUCCGGAAUCAUUGGGCGUAAAGGGCGCGUAGGUGGCGGGACAAGCGUGCGGUGAAAGCUCGGGGCUCAACCCCGCGUCGGCCGUGCGAACUGUUUUGCUCGAGCACUGUAGAGGCAGGCGGAAUUCCGGGUGUAGCGGUGGAAUGCGUAGAGAUCCGGAAGAACACCGGUGGCGAAGGCGGCCUGCUGGGCAGUGGCUGACACUGAGGCGCGACAGCGUGGGGAGCAAACAGG
rnacentral:rRNA from 1 species